UUACUUAUCUGGUAGGGGAGACACCAUGAUCAUGAAAGUGGUUUUCCCAGGGUGAGGCUCAUCCAUUGCACUCCGGGUGUGUUGACCCCUAUGAUGUCCCCAGAUGCGGGAAACUUGACUGCAUAAUUUGUGGUAAUUCAGUUGUAACUCCCUAAG